rnacentral:rRNA from 1 species
AUGUCGAGCCUUCAACGGGGGCAUCGGAGGGGACACCGUCGCACGAAAGGGAGGAAAUAUUGUGCAAGUCAAUAUCUCAAAAUGAACAAGGGGAAACCUUUUAAGUUACCUAAGGGAUCCAGAGGAAGGGCUAAAAACUGCAUAAGCAUAGCCAGUGAGCACGUAGAAAAAGCAUUGCAGUAUUCUUACAGGGACCAGCGUAACAAGAAAAAGUGA